rnacentral:rRNA from 1 species
CGCAUCUGUGCAUGCAGCAUAUCAAUAAGCGGAGGAAAAGAAACUAACAAGGAUUCCCUCAGUAACGGCGAGUGAAGCGGGAAGAGCUCAAAUUUGAAAUCUUGAAAGGUCACCUUUCACGAAUUGUAGUUUAAAGAAGUGUUUUCUGUUACGAUCGUAAUAUAAGUUCUUUGGAAUAGGACAUCACAGAGGGUGAGAAUCCCGUCUAUGAUUGCGAUUUGUAGCUUUGUGAUACACUUUCAAAGAGUCGGGUUGUUUGGGAAUGCAGCCCAAAACGGGAGGUAAAUUUCUUCUAAGGCUAAAUAUUGGCGAGAGACCGAUAGCGAACAAGUACCGUGAGGGAAAGAUGAAAAGAACUUUGAAAAGAGAGUUAAAUAGUACGUGAAAUUGUCAAAAGGGAAGCGUUUAACACCAGUGUUGUUUUCUGAAAAUCAACCUCUGUUAGCUUUAUGCAUGUUUGUUUAGACCUAAUCAGCUAUCUUGCAUGUUCUAUUGUUUGCAGUGGUGCACUUUUCAGUUUACAGGUCAACAUCAGUUUUUUUUACCGUAAAAAAGUUAAAGAAAGGUAGCUCAUGGCUCCGGUCGUGAGUGUUAUAGUCUUUUUCCUAUGCGGUAGGAGAGACUGAGGUCUGCAGUGUAGGCUAUUUGGCUAGAUACUCAGGUGCUAUGUGGUACCAUUUCAUAAACAACUUGUUGAUUAUGUUUUGUCUAUUGCAUACUCGCUUGUACUAUCAUACCUACGCUUAGGAUGUUGAAGUCAUCGUAUCGCGCAUCUGUGCAUCGCAUCUGUGCAUGCAGCAUAUCAAUAAGCGGAGGAAAAGGAGUAUACCUACGCUUAGGAUGUUGAAGUCAUCGUAUCGCGC